GUACAUCACAAGGCCUCCAUAUUCCUUAGCUCUCAACAAAGAUGGCAAAAUCCUCUUCUGGCCCCAACACAGGGUGAAUUUCAUGCAGGAAUGCAUUUCUUCAAAGCUAUUUAAGCUUCUAGAAGUUCAGAUAAUAUUUAGUGGGAUUUUCAGUGUUGCCCAUCUCAAAUGUCUACAGCAAAGCAAAUUAUAUUAAGGUAUACAGUGAUAUGUUUUUAAAGUAUUGUCUGCAUCAUGAGGCAUCUAUUGAGAAAAAAAUACUGGAACAAAUCUGGCUCCAAGUGUCCAUUUGUAAUUGUCUUAGAAAUUUGCCUCUGACUUGAGUGGGAAAGGAUUGUAAAAAGACUUAAGUAAUUGGCAUCUGAUUUUAUUAUCCCACAGUGUGGUUUUAUGAUUUAUUGAAUAGGUUGCCUACAAUGACUGGCUGACUGGCCUGUAUAGUUUGUUUAUUUGGUAUUAGGAAAAACAUCUAUAUAAUUCUGUUAUGAACUCUCCCCUUCUGAAGGGAUGUGUUUGUCCCCUCUACAGGCCUGCCUUCUCUGUGAUGUUCAGACAUUUUCUGGGAAAUUGCCAUGGCAAGAAAAAUUGCAUCUCUCCUCUCCUCCUCCUUCUCAUUUUCUCUCCCUGCAAAGAAUAUUGUUUGUGAAAGCAGCACAACACAGCAACCCUGAUAGCAAGACCAGACCGGAACCCACCUGAUGAGACAAGACAGCAACACUCACACCAGGACAAUGAGAGAACUCUUAGAGGACAACAAGAUCAGCUGCAAAAAGGUAGGGAAGACACCUGAGGGUUAGAGAGGAACAGGUGUGGCUUGGAGGCUGAGCAGGUUUUUCUCAGGACUUUUCCAACACUUCUAAG
rnacentral:lncRNA from 1 species